rnacentral:rRNA from 1 species
UGGGGAAUAUUGCACAAUGGGCGAAAGCCUGAUGCAGCAACGCCGCGUGAGUGAUGAAGGCCUUCGGGUUGUAAAGCUCUGUCUUUUGGGACGAUAAUGACGGUACCAAAGGAGGAAGCCACGGCUAACUACGUGCCAGCAGCCGCGGUAAUACGUAGGUGGCAAGCGUUGUCCGGAUUUACUGGGCGUAAAGGAUGCGUAGGCGGAUUUUUAAGUGAGAUGUGAAAACCCUAAGCUUAACUUGGGGACUGCAUUUCAUACUGGAAAUCUAGAGUGCGGGAGAGGAGAAUGGAAUUCCUAGUGUAGCGGUGAAAUGCGUAGAGAUUAGGAAGAACACCAGUGGCGAAGGCGAUUCUCUGGACCGUAACUGACGCUGAGGCAUGAAAGCGUGGGUAGC